AUUGACCGCUGGCGGCAGGCUUAACACAUGCAAGUCGCGCGCGCGGCGGACGGGUGCGUAAUGUCUGGGAACCUGCCUGAUGGAGGGGGAUAACUACUGGAAACGGUAGCUAAUACCGCAUACCAUCAGAUGUGCCCCGCUGGGAUUAGCUAGUAGGUGGGGUAAUGGCUCACCUCGGCGACGAUACCUAGCUGGUCUGAGAGGAUGAACAGACACAAGGGAACUGAGACACGGUCCAUACUCCUACGGGAGGCAGCAGUGGGGAAUAGUGCACAAGGGGCGCAAGCCUGAUACAGCCAUGCCGCGUGUGUGAAGAAGGCCUUCGGGUUGUAAAGCACUUUCAGCGAGGAGGCGUUACUCGCAGAAGAAGCACCGGCUAACUCCGUGCCAGCAGCCGCGGUAAUAC
rnacentral:rRNA from 1 species